GCAAGUGUCACGUGUGGAGACCAUUACACAUUAUUGGAAAACAGCUAUCUUCCAAUAUUUACACAUACGAAUAUGAGGGUACAAAUCAAAUUGAAUUUAUUCACAUUUCCAAAAAAGCUCUGAUAGCAGUUAAUGUCAACGUGGAUGAAACAGGCACGAAGACAGAACAGGUUCUCCUAUUCGGCAAAGACAAUGACAUUGAUCAGGAAGACUUAGAGACAUUCAAGAAGGAGACUCUAAGUCGGAAGAUUACAGAAACAAGCAUUAAGGAUUUAAC